UGCAAGUCGAACGGCAGCACGGGAGCAAUCCUGGUGGCGAGUGGCGAACGGGUGAGUAAUAUAUCGGAACGUGCCCAGUCGUGGGGGAUAACGCAGCGAAAGCUGUGCUAAUACCGCAUACGAUCUAUGGAUGAAAGCGGGGGACCGUAAGGCCUCGCGCGAUUGGAGCGGCCGAUAUCAGAUUAGCUUGUUGGUGGGGUAAAAGCCCACCAAGGCGACGAUCUGUAGCUGGUCUGAGAGGACGACCAGCCACACUGGAACUGAGACACGGUCCAGACUCCUACGGGAGGCAGCAGUGGGGAAUUUUGGACAAUGGGCGCAAGCCUGAUCCAGCAAUGCCGCGUGCAGGAUGAAGGCCUUCGGGUUGUAAACUGCUUUUGUACGGAACGAAACGGCUCUUUCUAAUAAAGAGGGCUAAUGACGGUACCGUAAGAAUAAGCACCGGCUAACUACGUGCCAGCAGCCGCGGUAAUGCGUAGGGUGCGAGCGUUAAUCGGAAUUACUGGGCGUAAAGCGUGCGCAGGCGGUUAUAUAAGACAGAUGUGAAAUCCCCGGGCUCAACCUGGGACCUGCAUUUGUGACUGUAUAGCUAGAGUACGGUAGAGGGGGAUGGAAUUCCGCGUGUAGCAGUGAAAUGCGUAGAUAUGCGGAGGAACACCGAUGGCGAAAGCAAUCCCCUGGACCUGUACUGACGCUCAUGCACGAAAGCGUGGGGAGCAAACA
rnacentral:rRNA from 1 species